rnacentral:rRNA from 1 species
CCUACGUGGGUCUGCAGUGAGGAAUAUUGGUCAAUGGGCGGAAGCCUGAACCAGCCAAGUCGCGUGAGGGAUUAAGGCCCUGCGGGUCGUAAACCUCUUUUGCCGGGGAGCAGUGGUCCGGACGCGUCCGGACCGGGAGAGUACCCGGAGAAAAAGCAUCGGCUAACUCCGUGCCAGCAGCCGCGGUAAUACGGAGGAUGCGAGCGUUAUCCGGAUUUAUUGGGUGUAAAGGGUGCGUAGGCGGGCAUUUAAGCCGGCGGUCAAAUGUCGGGGCUCAACCCCGGCCUGCCGUCGGAACUGGGUGCCUUGAGUGGGCGAGAAGUAUGCGGAAUGCGUGGUGUAGCGGUGAAAUGCAUAGAUAUCACGCAGAACUCCGAUUGCGAAGGCAGCGUACCGGCGCCCAACUGACGCUGAAGCACGAAGGCGUGGGUAUCGAACAGGAUUAGAUACCCGUGUAGUC